CUGAAUGUUGGUUCAAGCGAUGCUACAACACAACACUGGCACACUAGAAGAAGCAGCCACCACCCGCUCUUCCACCAACUCCUUGGAUCAUGUAUAAGUUGUCGGAUCAGUGAUGGUUGUGCAAAGGAAAACCAUGGAGCACGGCAAGAUUGAACUCAGACUUAACCUACUACUACUAUGUCAUCAUAAUGAUGCUCUAAGGUUUUCAGUUUGCCCCGCUGCUGGCCUUGUGUAGUUUACACGCAAACACCUAUUGCAGCUUGACAGUGUUGCCGACUAUCAGUUGUGGCCAACGAUGUAGCUGGGCCUUGGUUAUUGGAAUUACAGCUUUGUAAAAAGGUUCUCUAAAAAGCGGGAACUUCACUAUUAUCAAUAUACAAUUUGUUUCAUUUCUAAAGUUGUAUUUGGGUUGUGUAUUAUAGUGUUCAGUGGUGUCAUAUCCAACUUGCAUUAAGGUGUUCAGUGCAGAUGGUCACCUUGCAUCUGUAUGCUAAGAAGGGUGCAUUAAGGAGAAGGAGCCUAAUCCGGACGAGAUGCCCGCCAUUGGGUCGUGGUGUUCUUUAGCACGCAGACGGACAACAUCAUGGUGACCGCAACAGGAGGGCGAUGUUGGCCGCAGUUGGUGGAGGAUGAUGACUGCCCAACGACCAUCAGCAUGCUGGUCGUGGGCACGCCGGAUCCUUCCCUGCUCGCCGCCGCCCUGACCGCCUGUUCCUGCCCUGCUCGCCGCCACCAUCGGAGCUCAUUGUCAGGAGGCGGCCGCUCGGCCGCUUGGGAGGAAGAGAAGAGAUGAGGGAUUGGGGAGGAGCGAGGAGGCGGGGAUUGGAGGAGGAGGGACCAAUCCCAAUCUAGGGUUUUCACCGCUCCAUACAAGCGACGACUGAACGAGCGACGCGGCCCAGCGCCCGCCCCUGCCUCUGUCUACCGGUCGCACACGAAAAUGGUCCCAGACAUCAUAGACUGUGAACAAGCUCUCUUUUAUAGGAUUGGAUCCUGGGUUGGUGUUCGCCGUUUGUUGCCAUGGGAUGGGCAGAGGCAUGAAUGCUAAAUUUCCACCACUGUCGGUUGGUCAGGCUAGAGGUCAAGGUCCAGUUUGUCUUUGUUAGGGUCAUGGGCUAGGUCAGAUUGUUUGUCUCCACUUAGGCUCGUCUCUGCGGUCCUGACUGCCUCCUUGUGUGACGAGGACAGAAUUGUUGCUGGCCAUGUUUGACAUGAUUCCCCUCAUGUUUUUAGCAUUGAUUUAAUGGAUUGGAAAAAUUGUAUGUUGAAAGAGUAAAAUUAAAGUGAUGUGUGGUGGGAGUACAAGGGAGAAGCUCAAUUGAACUAAGAGAGCUGCAUGUAUGCUAUGAUUGUUUUGUUCUUAUGCACCACUUUCCACUUGAACUUUUGUUUCAGUGCUUAGACAUUGUUUCAUAGUGUUUUGUGUUACCACAUUACUCAUCCUCUCUCACUCCCAUGCCCACCAAGAUCCAGCAUGCACAUAGGAGGAGGGACGGCCAGGAGGUGGCGGCUUGCUUCCCUAGAACACCGCACUCUCAGUCUCAUGUCUCGUGCAAGAACUGGAAUGAGGCAUUGAGACAUGGAGGAGAACGAAUUGUAGAAAACAUGUCUCGUGCAAGAACUGGAAUGAGGCAUUGAGACAUGGAGGAGAACGAAUUGUAGAAAAGAACUUAAUACCCAUCAACCAUGGAGGUAAGUUCUUUUCCACCACUCGUUGAAUGUCACACGCCAUAUGGUUAGCUAUCACUGAAUUCGUAUCUGUUUUGUAGCUUUUGUGUCGUUGCUUUCUGUGCGUGAAUUUUGGUGUAUUUUACAAUUCUUCUUGUGAUCUGCCAAGAGGGAGAAAAUUACAAUGUUACAAAUAUAUGUUUACCGCUCUGUAGCUUGAAUAGUAGAUGUAUUUCAGACAUAAUAUUUGUUAUCUUGUUAGGUUCCAGUGCCUGGAUGUUAUAUUUACUAUAGUUGGAUGUUGGUGAUUUGAUGAGCUUACCUUUGUUUCAGUUAUCUUAGUAAGGUUUCUCUGUAUUAUCCCAGGAGCGGAAGUCAUUUGAUGAAAAGUUUGUUAGGAUAAACAUAGGAAAACUCUGUUAACUGACAUCUACAGCUGACAGUAUUCAUUUAAUGCCAAUUUUACCAGUGGUUAGUAAUUUUGUGUAAUAGGAACUACCAGAUAACAUCGAACAAAAUUAGUCAUAUAGCUAAUGUAAUAUGUCAAUGUUAUAUAUUAGCUGGAUAAAGUCCAACAAAAUACGAGAGCCAUGAGCUGAAACACACAUUGUUCAAAAAUCUGGUCUGAUCACAAGUUCUUUUAAUUCAUUAUUUACUCUAAAAGAAAAUGUACAUGACUAACUGUGUUCAGUUUAUCAAUACCUACAUUAUAUGGUGAUUAGAAUUAUUAAUCUAUGCAUAGUACCUUGUUGAACUAGCAGCCUAAAGCAAGAUAUGUGCUAUCCCGGGAGAAAAUUAGCAAGACAAGUGGCCUAUUUAUUUCUAGAGAUUCAGUACAACCCUUCAUUUUAUUUUAUAGAGUUCCAAGUUCCUUAAAGUUACCCCCCAGUUCCUUAAAGUACCCCUCACAAGCUUUGCUCGUAUUUUUAUCUGCUAUAAGGAAUAUAUUCAUUCUUUUCAACUUUUUGGCGAGAGAAUGGGAGACGGAUCAACUAUGAAGCGGAAAAGUCCAUUUUACCCACCUAUCCAUUACCAACCAUUCUGAUUUUACAUUCUGGAGCAUGUCUUGUACUUGUGGAUGUUUCUUGGUCUCCUUCUGCUAGGUAUUAUUAGUGCCUUCUUAUUUUGGGGCCACACAAUUGCUUUGUCACUUUGCUUAGUUCUAUGUCGUCUGUUAAGAUUUUGAGUUUUUGAUGGAAACUGAAGAUAGUACUUUUUGGUUCAUCCAUAAGUAAACACUUUUCGGCUGACCCCGUUCUCUUCUUUCGUCAAGGCUACAAGGUAGCAACAAUUGUGUCAGUUUACUGAAAGUGCUAUGGCAGAUUUUUCUAGAGCUUUUAUAUGUAUGAGAUUUGACUAUUAGAAAUAUACUUAAGCUCCCAUCUUCACUGAAUUUUGGUUACCCUAAUAUUUUCAUGAACCAUCAAUCCUACAUCAAUCGUACAUCAACCGGUGCAUUUUGUCCUAGCUGGGCCCUCACUUUUCCCCUUGAGCCUAGCCUCCCUCUUUUUGGCAUAAAGUCAUAUAUAUUAUCAUAACUUUAGUGCAAUAUGUACUGCAGAUUUAAUCCAGCUGACAUGGGGUUCUUACUCUUCGAUUUUAGGUAACAACCUGCCGACACAUGGUUGUUACUCUUCCACUUGUAAUUAUCGACUACGGGUCCAUUUUUGGCUGAGAUUUUGGUUUUGGCAGUGGGAUGUACGUACAUCUUGAAUCAAAAUGGCAGGUACAUCUUGACAUGGUUGUUUAUCACAGGCGUGAUUUGAGGAAGAUGCACAGUUUUCCAUCUUGAAUCAAUGCUGAGUUUUGUGCUCUCAAAUGAAUAUUUCCCUGCGUGGUUUGAGGAAGAUGCACGAUUUUCUGGCUACGGAAAUUUAUUGUUUAUUUCAGUUUAGUCAUUGUUUAUUUUGGCUUAUUUCUGACAAAACUUCAUAACGUGCAGACAUCCACGUGAUAGAUUGAUGAUUUAGUUCUAUUGCAUAUGUUGCUUACCAAUGUGGUUAUGGUAAAGCCUGACAAGUUAUAGAAAUUGUGAAAUAUUUAAUAUCAAUGGACAAUAGCAGAAAAUGGGAAAACAAAAUCUCAUGGCAAAAAUGGAAGGCGAAUCUAAUAGAACCGUAAAUACUCUCCGCAUAAACUUUAAAUGACCAAUACAUGAAGGAUCAUCAUACAACUAUUUUGGUAUGAAACAUCAUGUAUAAUUCUGUAAAAUUUAGAUGGAUAAGAAAUAAACGCCACAUUUGAUGCUCAUAUAGCAACUAAAGACAUGAGCAAUCACCAAAAAUAUAGAUUUAAGCACUGAAAUAAAUUAUUUAUUAAAUUACCGUCCUAUAUGUGAACAUUCAUUGGCAUAUUAAUACUCUUUUAUUUGCACUUGCGCGAUAGCGCAACGGGUCAUC